rnacentral:tRNA from 1 species
GGGCGAUUAGCUCAGCUGGUUAGAGUACCACGUUGACAUCGUGGGGGGCGAUGGUUCGAGUCCAUUAUCGCCCACCA